rnacentral:lncRNA from 1 species
UGAGGAGGUUUUAAUUUAGGUCUCAAUUGGGUUUGCUACAUCACAUGUAAACCUGUCUACCCGACUCUCAUUCACAUCACAUGCAAACGGCACAUUGCAGGCAGUUAUAAUCGCAGCAAUAAUUAAAACUAAACUUUAAAUAGGUGAUGAUCAUGGAUUCUAGUUAGGUCGUAUUACAAGCACAUGCACGUCAAUCGAUCAACUGGUCUUCAACUCUUGAAUUGGUUCCAAACCUCCUUGAUUCGAUCCUUGAUCAACUCUUGAUCCAAUCGCCAUCAACCGCUUAGACCCCUGUUCAUCUCAUGCCUU